AAACUGAAAGACCAGAAACCAGCCUGCCCUAGUCAAAGAAAGUUAGGGCCCAACCAGCCUCUCCACGAGAAGCAGGGUAAGGUGGGGGCAUUCAUCUCUCUGGACCCUUUUCCCCAGCCUGAGCCAGCUGCCACUUUGGGGAUAGGGAGGAGGUCCCAGGGAAGAACCUGGUUGCCAAAGUCUUGGCCAGUUGGUGAAAAGAUGGGUCUCCUGGGGAUACCCAAGCCCAAGCUCUACACUGUCCCAAGCUUUCAGAUUCUCCAGCUGCUCCUCUUCUGAGGCUCACCCAGUCUCAUGCCUCCAUCGGCCUCAACUCCCCACCCAUGGCCUGUGGUGAGAGGUGCUAACAACAUGACCUGCUUUCAUUUUGACCUUCCCAGCCCACCCAGAGAAAAGGGAAUCUUGGCCAAAAAAGGCUGAAAGGGGGAGAACCCUGGCACUGCGGGUGGGGCUGGAAGGAGCCCAGGCAAACUUACUGGUGAGAAUCUCAUGACUCUUCAAGUCAUUCCCAAGAGGAAGCUGAAGGUCCGUCGCAGGGAGGAGCCUGCCCAGGUACCUGAAUGUCCUUCCAGCUGGCUGCAGCUGCAGAGAGAAAAAGAAUACAUGAGAAGAUGGAGGUAAUGCUGGAAAUGAAGAAAAAGAUACUUCCUGAGAGAUGCUGGAUGAAGGAUCCAUGACCAGCAGAGCCAGAAUGGGAAGGAAGAAAGAGGAAGGACUGGGAGAGAAAGAUAAGCCCCCAUCCUGACCUCCUAGGACUUCCUGGAUGUGGGCAUUUCAGCUUCCCAAGCCCCUCUAUUUAGGAAGAAAACUCCAGGCUCCACCCAGAUAAAUACAGACUCCUCCUUCCUACCUAAUCCAGGCUCAGGAUGGGAGGCCCAGUCUCCUCUCUCAUGCUGCUCCCCAACGGAAGUGGUAUGGGGUGGGGGCUCUCCCGAGGGGCAUUUUCUCCUCUCAGAACAAGAGCCCUGUGUACGACCCUCUCUGCUGUUUGGAGAAGGCCUCUGGGCCUAAAGCCAAUAAGGACUGAAUUUCCUGGGAUUUCAUCAGCCCCAUCCCAUGAGCUAAUCCCAAACCCAGAGCCAGGAGGAUGUGUCAGCUAGAGAUUUUCAGGACCACAAAGCAGAGCCUGAUAUCUUAAAGGGACCAUUACUUGCUUACACAUCCACACUGUCUUAGAGGGCUGACCCACUCUAAUCAGGCUUCAGCCAUAGGAGCCAAAUAAGCAGGUGUUGAUUUUG